rnacentral:rRNA from 1 species
UACGUAGGUGACAAGCGUUGUCCGGAUUUACUGGGCGUAAAGAGCGCGCAGGCGGUCGAUCAAGUCGAGUGUGAAAGCCCCCGGCUCAACUGGGGAGGGUCAUUCGAUACUGAUCGACUCGAAGGCAGGAGAGGAGAGUGGAAUUCCUGGUGUAGCGGUGAAAUGCGCAGAUAUCAGGAAGAACACCCGUGGCGAAGGCGGCUCUCUGGGACGGUACUGACGCUGAGACGCGAAAGCGUGGGGAGCGAACAGG